GCCGAAGUGGCGGAAUGGCAGACGCGGAGGUCUCAAAAACCUCUGUCCUCACGGGCGUGUGGGUUCGAGUCCCACCUUCGGUA
rnacentral:tRNA from 1 species